rnacentral:lncRNA from 1 species
CUGGUUUCCUAUCACGCUUCCUGUGACUGAUGGGUUAGGUGAGAACGCGGCAGGCGCAUUAAAUGCCUCUGGUUCCCGUACCCGCGUCAGGCUGCGGGCGGCGUUCUUGCGCUCGAGGCCUUUCGAUUCGUACGAGCCUGUUUCCGUAUUCGACGAUAGCUGGCGCUCGAGCCCUAGUCGAUUCGCAUGACGCUCUUUCCGCGUUCAAGGCUACGGGCGUCGAUAACUGUGCGUGCGACCGGGGGGCGUCGAGUCGGGGGCCCUUGAUCUGCGUACGGGUGCUCUCGUCAUGUGCGUUAGUUAGGGUACCCCUUACUGAUACCCUCGACACUUGUGUCCUGAGAAGUAUGCAACCACUUACAUCCACCAUGUUCACUAUGUGCUACUUCUGUUUGUAGAAGUACCACCCACAUAUAUGCACUACACUUUGUGUUGUUUCUAUUCUAGAGACACGUACCUAUGCUGCUCCUACCCUGGGAGUACGCAUUCACCCAUACAUUCCACAUCCACUCAGAAAAUAUUCUACUCCACUAUGAGAAGACACCCAAAAAUAUUCAUUAUGUGUUAUUCUACUUUUCCAAUAAAGCUCUAGUUAUUUCAGUUGAUACUCCCUACUAUUAUCAGUGCAUUAAAAGGGUUGGCUGAUCUCUAAAAAAAGAGAGAAAAAGAAAAAAAGAGGACAAAAAGUCUCAAUGCAAAAGAAAAGAAAGAUAGCCAAGUCCUUGUUUUUAGAUUAAGGAGAUAUGUUAUCCCCAAGGAGCAAUUGUAGAAUUAGAUAUUCACUAUCAGUUAUCACCCCCCAUUAUCACUAUUUUUCUUAUCAUUCACUUCAUUCAUUGUACUCACAUGCACAUAUGACUUGAUUGUAUAAUUAGUUUCUCUGGAUGCAUAGUUUAACUAUGCAAUACAUGCAAGUAGGUUUGAGUUGUCUUUCCCACCAAUGAGCUCCACAUAAGCGAAUUAGAAGUAAGGUGAGAGAGAGAGAAGGCAACUAUGCCCUAGUGAUAUAAAUACCAUAUUCUAAGAGAAGGUAUGCUCACUUGCCUUGGAGAGGAUCCAAAAAUACCACAUAUGAGAGACUAGAACGGGUCAUACAAGGAAUCUCUGAAUUUUAUUUGAAAACCUUACAAAACUCUGGAAUAAUAGUUGAUCAAAGAGUGAGUAAUAUAGCGCUUGACUGAACUGUUAUUUCUUUAAACUACUCAAGAUCUAAGGAUAGCUAUAAGCCCC